UUAGGGGUAGGCCCGGCCUCCCACGCAACACGCCUCCUCCAAUCUCCGCGAUUGGAUCCGUUGGAAUCUCUUAGGCCUCCCGGGCAGCCGGGCUGCUUCCUCCCUACUUCAGGUUAAAUGUUUCAGACAGUUCAAGCUCAAGGGAGAGAUGAAUGAAGGACACUGGAGGGACCCCUCUGACCAUGCCUGAUGGAGACCUGAACCCGGAUAAGAAUUGCCCUUCAUCUUGUCAGCAACACUUUUAGCUCCCGCCUCGAUCCACCACGUGAAGGAGACCAGGGACAUCUCCAGGUUCCUGAACUCAGGCUCAGUCUCAGUGCUGGCACCUCUAUCUGUUAAAACCGACACCAGACAGGUUAAUGCUGACAGCUGGGGUACCUG